AUUUGGGGAAAUACGAAUUGAUACGAAAAUUUGGAUACCCCAUGGGCCAGAGACAAUGGUACAUGGUGCAUCACCCCAAGGGUCAAAAAUUUAUGGGGUAAAUGUCUAUGAGGCCUGAAGUCUAAACAUGAUAUUUUAGCCGAAAGCCUAUAGGGUUUGUAUUCAUAUGGGACAUAGCAGGGGUGGGCGGCAAACGAUUUUUCCGGCAAAUCGGCAACUUGCCGGAAUUGAAAAUUUCCGGCAAAUAGACAUUUUGCCGGAAUUGAAUAUUUCAGGAAAUUGCCAAAAAUUUUCGGCUUU
ensembl:ncRNA F43D9.10 ncRNA